UUUAAUCCAGACUUAACUGGUUCUAGACCAUUCCCACUCUCACUUUCUGGUUCUCUCCCUUCCUCUUCUUUUUCAUUCUUCUAUCUCCGCAUACCACCAAUUGUAAAAUUGAAAUUCACCCUUUCAAAAUUGUACCCAGAUUCUCCGCGUAAAGUGCCCCCUUAUUUGUUGGUCCGAUGUUAAGGGAAACAUCUGAGAGGCUACAGAUUCACUGCGUCGAUUCCAUUCUCUUUCCCUCUUCUCAUAUCUUUUUAAAGGUUUCAGUUUUCAUCCUUCGCUUGCAUUCCCUUUUUUUAAUUCCAGACAUGGAAACCCAUUCACAAAAAUGAUGAAGGCAAGUGAAUUCUCAUUAUUAGUUCCAAGAGUACCACAAGAAUAAGUUUUCUCUAUUUCACAUUAAUUGUGUGUGAGCAUCUUUAAGGUCUCUUUUUAAUAUGUGGUGGUGUCGGCUUGUCAAAAGGUGUAUUUUCCCAAUAUUGUUGACUCCUGGUAAGGUGUAUGUAAUUUUCAUGGGUUGCAUUCUAAGAUCCAAUGGUCAACAUAUCGUCACUGUAGCCCUCUGGUAUGUGGUAAUUGUAUCUUAUGGCAACAAUCGCAUGCCUACAAGGCAUACCUAUGUAGAUAAACCAAAAAAACAUUAAAUUCAUAGUGACGCAAUACAUAAUAUCCAAAAUUGACAAAUUUAACUAACUUAGUGGUAUACCUAUAAGUUGCCACAUCCUACAUGUGAAUGACUAGUUUUGUAGAUCCACAAUAAGUCUUGUAUCAUAAUGACAAACCUUAAAUCUAGUUCCAUCAGGAUCACCAACCCAGUUUGCAGUCUACUUAUUAGAUUCAACUUUCUCCUUUUCUAUCCUUGACUGUUGCAUAGGUACCAAUGGUCUUAAUCUUGUAGCCAUUUUUAGUUUAUCACUUUUCAUCUUGCACAUAAUAUAGGUCCUUAUAUCCUCACACAUAUUCAAAAUUGCUUGUUUUUUAACUUCAGAAUCUUUGCAUUAUAAGACUCAUAAUCUUUGCAAUUUUCACUAAAAUAGGCUUUGGUCCAUGAUUCACGGGGCCCCUUGUCUAAAUAAGCCCAUGCCUUUUCAUUCAUCCUUUUAACAACUUUCAUAAUAACAUUAAAUUCUAAUUCAGUAGGAGACCGUGCACACUUAUAAUGCCCUAAAAUCUCGCUUAUUGAAAAUCGAUGUUUAAUGUAUUUCUUGUGUUAUUUGAUUGUGUUGCAACCUACCCUUCGGCGGGAGGGCGACGCGAGACUCACGGGUGUGUCUUCCAAGAAAGGAAAAUGCGCGG